UACGGAGGGUGCGAGCGUUGUCCGGAAUCACUGGGUUUAAAGGGUACGUAGGCGGCCCGUUAAGUCAGCGGUUAAAGACCCCGGCCCAACCGGGGGGUUGCCAUUGAUACUGGCGGGCUUGAGUGCCGUAGGGGCAGGCGGAAUUUGUGGUGUAGCGGUGAAAUGCAUAGAUACCACAAGGAACCCCGAAAGCGAAGGCAGCUUGCCGGGCGGCCACUGACGCUGAUGUACGAAAGCGUGGGGAUCAAACAGG
rnacentral:rRNA from 1 species